CCUACGGGAGGCAGCAGUGGGGAAUCUUGCACAAUGGAGGAAACUCUGAUGCAGCGAUGCCGCGUGAGUGAAGAAGGCCUUUGGGUUGUAAAGCUCUUUUGUAGGGGAAGAUAAUGACUGUACCCUAAGAAUAAGGUCCGGCUAACUUCGUGCCAGCAGCCGCGGUAAUACGAAGGGACCUAGCGUAGUUCGGAAUUACUGGGCGUAAAGCGCGCGUAGGCCGUUGAGUUAGUUAAUUGUGAAAUCCCAAAGCUUAACUUUGGAACUGCAAUUAAAACUGCUCGACUAGAGUUUGAUAGAGGAAAGCGGAAUACAUAGUGUAGAGGUGAAAUUCGUAGAUAUUAUGUAGAACACCAGUUGCGAAGGCGGCUUUCUGGAUCAACACUGACGCUGAGGCGCGAAAGUAUGGGUGGCAAAGAGGAUUAGAUACCCUCGUAGUCCAUACCAUAAACGAUGAUUGCUAGAUGUUGGAAAUUUAUUUCAGUAUCGCAGCUAACGCAUUAAGCAAUCCGCCUGGGGAGUACGACCGCAAGGUUAAAACUCAAAGGAAUUGACGG
rnacentral:rRNA from 1 species